AUUGAACGCUGGCGGCAUGCCUAACACAUGCAAGUCGAACGGCAGCAUGACCUAGCUUGCUAGGUUGAUGGCGAGUGGCGCACGGGUGAGUAAUGCGUAGGAAUAUGCCUUGAAGUGGGGGAUAACCUGGGGAAACUCAGGCUAAUACCGCAUGAGCUCUAAGGAGGAAGGCUGGGGACCGAAAGGCCUGGCGCUUCCAGAUUAGCCUACGUCCGAUUAGCUAGUUGGUAGGGUAAAGGCCUACCAAGGCGACGAUCGGUAGCUGGUCUGAGAGGAUGAUCAGCCACACUGGGACUGAGACACGGCCCAGACUCCUACGGGAGGCAGCAGUGGGGAAUAUUGGACAAUGGGGGCAACCCUGAUCCAGCGAUGCCGCGUGUGUGAAGAAGGCCUGCGGGUUGUAAAGCACUUUCAGUGGGGAGGAGGACUUGGAGGUUAAGAGCUACUAAGUUGGACGUUACCCACAGAAGAAGCACCGGCUAACUCCGUGCCAGCAGCCGCCGUAA
rnacentral:rRNA from 1 species